AUUUUAACAAAUUAACAAAAACACCACAGUUAAAUCACUCUAAAUACCUUUCUUUUUGCAAAAGUCUUCUCUUGCGCCCACACUCUCGAUCUGAUGCCAGCUGGAGCCACCUCUUCAUCGUCCCCUCGACCGCCAUCUCUGCAGCAUUAGCCGUGAAGAGGUUUCUAUGAACUGCAGCUUUGGAAUAAUGACAUAUCCUUUCAGACCUCCACGGGCUACAGAUGAGGAAAAGGCCGUGUGACGCAAAGCAGGCUGCACGGUUGUUGACGGAGUUUGGCGAUGCCCCCAUUGCUGUCCUUGUCUUCAAAGUUGACGCAUGGCAGGCACCAUGCGUCAAAAGGGGGAAUGAUAGCUGCGAAAAGCAUUGGUUUCUCUAAUUACUCUAAAAAAAAUUUGUUUAUGCUGUUUGCACAACUCAAAACGUGGGUUGAGGUUUGAAGGUAGAGAAGGCCACGUCCCUACGUGUAUCUCCAGUGAUCAUGGCACACCUUUUGUGAGUCAUGCCCUUAAGUAGGUUGAUGAAUAUUUGGGUAUUGGCUUAAAGCAGCACUGUGCAUAUCAUCCGGCUAGUGGUGGGGUGGUAGAGAGAAAAUGGGACACUAAAAAACAGACUGCGCAAUACUGUUCUGAAACAGGCUUAGGAUGGGCUCAGCCCCUUUGGGAUACUGUUUGGGAGACCUCCACACACAGGCAUUGGACCUGUGACAGCUCCUCUUCCCGACGCUGCAGCAUUUGAUGAUGUAAUGUUAAAUUACUGUGCAACCCUGUCCUCUGCUCUGCACUCUAUCCACAAGCAGGUAAAGGCAGCAUUUCCAGCUCCAGCCAAGGGUCCGCUGCAUGAUCUGAAGCCCGGAGACUGGGUUGUGAUCAAGGACUUCCACAGGACCAGGUGGAACAAGCCACAGUGGUCUGGGCCAUUCUAGAUCCUUUUUCGUAACUCACUCCGUGGUAAAGGCCAGCCAGAGAGCCAUGUCGAUGCACGCCAGCCACUGCAGGAGUGUUCCAGAGAUGAGCACUGAGCUGUAGAGGACGGGACUGCAACAGGAGAGCUAGACCAUAAUUCUCUAUCAAGAGGUGACCUACGCUCACAAGCGAC
ensembl:lncRNA